rnacentral:tRNA from 1 species
GGGUGUGGCUCAGUGAUGGAGCACUUGCCUAACAUGUGUGAGGCCCUGGGUUCGAUCCUCAGCAUCACA